CGCUCUUCCCUCCCCCCAGUCUCCGGACCUGGUGGUUCUUGCGUGAUGAGACUUCCAGAACUACAUGAAAGCAAUUAUGCCAACUGUGACCCUUGAUGACCCCAACCGCCACCGUCUGCCUCAUGUCACGGACAGCGAAGCGACCUAGGACACAGGACAUGAAGAAACAAAUGGGGAAUGCUACCAAGGCACGAGCUAGGACACUUGUACGGGAGGCCAACUUCUUGCCUGAGCGCCGGUCAAUCUUCUCCCUGAGCUCUGCAAACUUACAGGCGAUGUGGGCCGUGUGGCAGUCCAGAACUGCAGAGAGCCUGAGUAACUUACCCAUGAUGGAACAGCAAGCAAGUGGCAGAGCUGGGGAUGGGGAAACAAAGGAGCAGAAAAAACAUACAGCAGAAUUAAGUAAGCAUCAGGAGCGAGAAUGAAGAUACGACUCAAAUACUCUAACACUUACACCUUCUGAACACUAGAUGUUCCCCAACAUCUUAGGCCAGGAGAGCGUUAUUGAGUGUGAGGCCUUCUAAAAGGAUAACUAAGUAUGACAGUACAUCGUAUGCAUGCCUUUUAAGCAGACACUUUAUUUACUUCUCUAAAAACCCUCGCCAAAGCUCA